rnacentral:rRNA from 1 species
UACAGAGGUCCCGAGCGUUGUUCGGAUUCAUUGGGCGUAAAGGGUGCGUAGGCGGUUUUCUAAGUCUGGUGUGAAAUCCUGGGGCUCAACCCUGGAACUGCACUGGAUACUGGGAGGCUAGAGUACUGGAGAGGAAACUGGAAUUUACGGUGUAGCAGUGAAAUGCGUAGAGAUCGUAAGGAAGACCAGUGGCGAAGGCGAGUUUCUGGACAGUUACUGACGCUGAGGCACGAAGGCCAGGGGAGCAAACGGG